UACGGAAGGGGCAAGCGUUGUUCGGAAUCAUUGGGCGUAAAGGGCGCGUAGGUGGUUCUGUAUGUCUACCGUGAAAGCGUACGGCUCAACCGUAUUUAGUCGGUAGAAACUGCAGGACUUGAGGCUGGGAGGGGCUGGUGGAAUUCCCUGUGUAGCGGUGAAAUGCGUAGAUAUCUGGAGGAACACCGGUGGCGAAGGCGGCGUUCUGGACUGCAACUGACACUGAGGAACGAAAGCCAGGGGAGCAAACGGG
rnacentral:rRNA from 1 species